GGCCUAUUAGCUAGUUGGUGAGGUAAUGGCUCACCAAGGCGACGAUGGGUAGCUGUCCUUAGAGGGUAAUCGGCCAUACUGGAAUUGAGAUACGGUCCAGACUCCUACGGGAGGCAGCAAGUCGGAAUAUUUGUCAAUGGGCGAAAGCUUGAACAAGCAAUGCCGCGUGAGCGAUGAAGGCCUUCGGGUUGUAAAGCUCUGUGUUUUGGGAAGAAAAACUGGCACAUAAACAAUAUGCCAGAUUGACGGUACCAUAAUAGAAAGCCCCGGCUAACUACGUGCCAGCAGCCGCGGUGAUACGUAGGGGGCAAGCGUUGUUCGGAAUUACUGGGUGUAAAGGGCGUACAGGCGGCUGAGUAAGUCGGAUGUGAAAUCCUUGGGCUUAACCUGAGAACUGCAUUUGAUACUACUCGGCUUGAGGUUAGGAGAGGAAAGCGGAAUAUGUGGUGUAGCGGUGAAAUGCGCAGAUAUCACAUAGAACACCGGUGGCGAAGGCGGCUUUCUGGCCUAACUCUGACGCUGACGCGCGAAAGCUAGGGGAGCGAACGGGAUUAGAUACCCCGGUAGUCCUAGCCGUAAACGAUGGGUACUAAGUGUAGGAGGUAUCGACCCCUCCUGUGCUGUAGCUAACGCAUUAAGUACCCCACCUGGGGACUACGGUCGCAAGAUUAAAACUCAAAGUAAUUGACGGGGGCCCGCACAAGCGGUGGAGUAUGUCGCUUAAUUCGAAGCAACGCGAAGAACCUUAUCCAGUGGCUUGACAUUUUUCUGGCAGCCGUGGAAACACGGUCUUCUCUUACGAGACAGAUUAACAGGUGCUGCAUGGCAGUCGUCAGCUCGUGUCGUGAGAUGUUGGGUUAAGUCCCGCAACGAGCGCAACCCCUUUCCUAGUUGCCAGCGAGUAAUGUCGGGAACUCUAGGAAGACUGCCGACGAUAAGUCGGAGGAAGGUGGGGAUGACGUCAUGUCCUCAUGGCCCUUAUGCCCUGGGCUGCACACGUACUACAAUGGCCGGUACAGAGGGUUGCCAAACCGCGAGGUGGAGCUAAUCCCUUAAAGCCGGUCUCAGUUGGGAUUGUAGUCUGCAACUCGACUACAUGAACCUGGAAUCGCUAGUAAUCGCGAAUCAGCAGGUCGCGGUGAAUACGUUCCCGGGCCUUGUACACACCGCCCGUCACACCACGAAAGUCGGUGGCAUUCGAAGCCGAU
rnacentral:rRNA from 1 species